AACGAACGCUGGCGGCAUGCCUAACACAUGCAAGUCGAACGAGACCUUCGGGUCUAGUGGCGCACGGGUGCGUAACGCGUGGGAACCUGCCCUUAGGUUCGGAAUAACUCCCCGAAAGGGGUGCUAAUACCGGAUAAUGUCUUCGGACCAAAGAUUUAUCGCCUUUGGAUGGGCCCGCGUUGGAUUAGCUAGUUGGUAGGGUAAAAGCCUACCAAGGCGACGAUCCAUAGCUGGUCUGAGAGGAUGAUCAGCCACACUGGGACUGAGACACGGCCCAGACUCCUACGGGAGGCAGCAGUGGGGAAUAUUGGACAAUGGGCGAAAGCCUGAUCCAGCAAUGCCGCGUGAGUGAUGAAGGGCUUAGGGUUGGAAAGCUCUUUUACCCGGGAUGAUAAUGACAGUACCGGGAGAAUAAGCUCCGGCUAACUCCGUG
rnacentral:rRNA from 1 species